UCCUCUAUAUCGCACCAAUCAUGGGGAGGUAAUGGACGAGUGGUAUUGUCGUUGGAACCAUAAUCCAGAGACCCAAGUAACGUCCUCAGGACCUGGGUACAAAUUCCAAUAUGGCAGAUAGUGAAAUCAAAUCGGUUAACAGUACCACUACACUGCUGAAGUUUGGAACAAACAUCCAAUAGAAACUGCUGAAUCCUAAGAACGACGCACCUUUUCUUUGAGUUUCUGACAUCGAGCCCUGUUCUAUCGACAAGCUGAUCAUUCAAGGAACGUCCUCCAUCUAAUCUACCUG